GAUGAACGCUGGCGGCGUGCCUAAUACAUGCAAGCCGAGCGAACGGACGAGAAGCUUGCUUCUCUGAUGUUAGCGGCGGACGGGUGAGUAACACGUGGAUAACCUACCUAUAAGACUGGGAUAACUUCGGGAAACCGGAGCUAAUACCGGAUGAUAUUUUGAACCGCAUGGUUCAAAAGUGAAAGACGGUCUUGCUGUCACUUAUAGAUGGAUCCGCGCUGCAUUAGCUAGUUGGUAGGGUAACGGCUUACCAAGGCAACGAUGCAUAGCCGACCUGAGAGGGUGAUCGGCCACACUGGAACUGAGACACGGUCCAGACUCCUACGGGAGGCAGCAGUAGGGAAUCUUCCGCAAUGGGCGAAAGCCUGACGGAGCAACGCCGCGUGAGUGAUGAAGGUCUUCGGAUCGUAAAACUCUGUUAUUAGGGAAGAACAUAUGUGUAAGUAACUGUGCACAUCUUGACGGUACCUAAUCAGAAAGCCACGGCUAACUACGUG
rnacentral:rRNA from 1 species